AGAACAAACCAUAGGUUCCAUAGACAAGUCCAUGUGCACUUCAAUUUCGAUCGAUCAUAUGUUUUCUUUGUGUAGUUUUUUCAGCCGCUGUAAUUCGAAUUGGUUAUAAAGUUUACAAGUAAAGAAGUGAAUUAUUUCGUGGAUAUUGUUUUAUAUGAAAGCAAUUGUGUGUGGCAGGCCAACCUGACGUUAUAUUGUUGUUUUAAGUAUUUAUUUAUGCGGUGCAUAUAAUUGCAUUGUCGAGUGCACGUGCUUGCAUUUUUUAACUCUUAACUUAAAAUCUCAGUCAUUUUACUGCAUGAAAAGUAAAUUAGUAUAAAGAAAAGUAUUCUAAUUUUUAAAUUCAAGCAUAUUAGAUAGUCGUUAAUAUCAUUUUUGUAUAAAAACGUGGCUAGAAAUGUGUGACGAAAACUUAGGUUGGUUUCGAUAUUUUCCUAUUUACGCCGUGCUUAGCUCAAUUUUAUGCAGAUAUUCUGAAACAUUUACGUCGGAUGAAGUGUUAGUGGUGAAAAAAUUGCCACAAAUAACAAACAACAUGUGGAAGUGUAAUAAAAGUGCCACGAAAAAGAAAGUGCCAAAAUCACGGAGGAUAUUAUUGUAUUAUUGUGGUUUUAAUUACUAAAACAAAACGUGUAAGAAAAUGUUUGUGUUACAAAAAUGUGUUGUGGUGUACAUUGGAUGCAGUGUUUCGCUAGAUGGCGCUGUUCGGAUUGUUGCUGACCAAGCGAGUUCGCCAUGUUGCUAUUGAACGCUAGAUGGCGUCGAUCUGCGGAGUUCAGUAGCCGAUUGUGUCGAAUAGAUAAAAUAUCGAACUCCCUUCGCUUUGUUAUAAACAAAGUACUACUUACGUGUUGUUCCGGAGAUCGACGCCAAUAUUACCGCUUGCGGCAAUGAUUGAACGCGACACGUCCGAUGCAGAAAUAUUGUCUUAUAUCAUCAUCUAUAUUGUUGGAUGAGGUCAUCUUGGUCCGCCAGUAUUGAGUUAGACUCUACUCGUUACAAUCUCAUGAUUUGUGGUCUCAUUAUCCUAUUAACAUCUGGAAUACGACGAAACAAGCAGUUAUCAUUUAUCAUUGAACCUUUGUUUGUUUAUUUAUAUGUUGAGUACCUGAUAGUGUUGAGCUGUUGUUUCGUCAUUUCUUAGGGCUGGUCCGUUUGUAACGUGAAGUAGUCCAAUAUUAUCUAAUGUUUCUGAGAAUACUCGUUUUAUGAUAUGGAGUGAUCACAGAGGAAGCCGUAAAGACGCACUAGCAUGUUCUCCGACUAUCAACAUACUGAGAUCGUUAUUUUCCCGUUUUUUCCGUUUUCCUUUGCGAUCUUAACGUGUUCACGCAUUUGUAUACGAGUCGGUUUUAAAUUUUAUGUUUUUAUUGUUAAUUUAUUGUAUCGUACUUUAUGUUUUUUGAAUACCAUUGACUAACAAACACUAAACAAUUCUAACGCAUGACCUUUUUAUUUUUACUUUAUCAACUCGCGAGUGUGCAUGACUUUAAGGAUUAUUUUAAUUGUUUUAUUUUGAAUUAUUAUUAUUAAUGUAUAGUUAUUGUUUUUUAAAUAUUUAUCACGAUAAUUAAGACAUCAUUAGAAAUUUAUUUGACUUUGUAGUUUUAAUGUUAUAAAAUGAUUGAUUGUUAUUUAGAUAAUUAAAUUAAAUGCAAAUGUUUACUUCAACAAUUUGUGGCCAAGCAAAUUGAUGAUCAAUAUCUGUCGUACGCCUUGCUCCAUAAAACUUGAUUUUAGGUUUAAAAUGAUUCACUUAAAUUCGAGUUUUAGUUAAGCAUAGCAGCAAUAUCAGUGUGAUUGCAUUCUCGUUUUUUAUAUGAUGAAAAAUUUGAUCAUGCAAUCUGUUAUAAUUACGUAAUUGAUUAUUAGAUUAUAAUUUAUUUUUUCAUAUGUUUAGUUGAAUAAAUGUUUCGGCAUGA